rnacentral:rRNA from 1 species
UUGGAGGGCAAGUCUGGUGCCAGCAGCCGCGGUAAUUCCAGCUCCAAUAGCGUAUAUUAAAGUUGUUGCAGUUAAAAAAGCUCGUAGUUGAACUUCAGACCUGACCGGGCGGUCCGCCUAACGGUGUGUACUGUCUGGCCGGGCCUUACCUCUUGGUGAGCCGGCAUGCCCUUCACUGGGUGCGUCGGGGAACCAGGACCUUUACCUUGAGAAAAUUAGAGUGUUCAAAGCGGGCUUACGCCGGAAUACAUUAGCAUGGAAUAAUAAAAUAGGACGUGCGGUU